GCGCCCGUAGCUCAGUGGAUAGAGCGGUGGACUUCGAAUCCAAAGGUCGGGGGUUCAAAUCCCUCCGGGCGUGCCA
rnacentral:tRNA from 5 species